GUGUUGGCUUCAGCAGCACACAUACUAACACUGAAACGAUACAGAGGUUAACCUGGUCCCUGCACAAGGAUGACAUACACGCCAGUUCAUGAAGCAUCAUGUAUAUAU